CGCGGCCUAUCAGCUUGUUGGUGAGGUAACGGCUCACCAAGGCGAUGACGGGUAGCUGGUCUCAGCGGAUGGCCAGCCACACGGGGACUGAGACACGGCCCCGACUCCUACGGGAGGCAGCAGUGGGGAAUCUUGGACAAUGGGCGAAAGCCUGAUCCAGCGACGCCGCGUGCGGGAGGAAGCUCUUCGGGGUGUAAACCGCUGUCAGGGGGGAAGAAUCCGGUCCGGUCGAACAGGCCGGGUCGUUGACGGUACCCUCAGAGGAAGCGCCGGCUAACUCCGUGCCAGCAGCCGCGGUAAUACGGAGGGCGCGAGCGUUGUUCGGAAUUACUGGGCGUAAAGGGGGCGCAGGCGGCCCGUUAAGUCCCAUGUGAAAGCCCACGGCUCAACCGUGGAGUGCCAUGGGAUACUGGCGGGCUUGAGACGGGUAGAGGCGAGCGGAAUUCCCGGUGUAGCGGUGGAAUGCGUAGAUAUCGGGAAGAACACCAGUGGCGAAGGCGGCUCGCUGGGCCCGUUCUGACGCUCAGGCCCGAAAGCGUGGGGAGCAAACAGGAUUAGAUACCCUGGUAGUCCACGCCGUAAACGAUGGGCACUAGGUGCUGGGGAGUGUGACCUCUUCGGUGCCGCAGCUAACGCGUUAAGUGCCCCGCCUGGGGAGUACGG
rnacentral:rRNA from 1 species